rnacentral:tRNA from 1 species
GGAGGGAUGGCAGAGUGGUUGAUUGCGGUGCUCUUGAAAAGCAUUGUGGCGCAAGUCACCGGGGGUUCGAAUCCCUCUCCCUCCG